GUUCAGACGUGUGCUCUUCCGAUCUCUCCACCCAGACUCAUCCAUUCACUCCAAGAUAGAGAGUUUCUGUUGGUGCUGAUAUCGAAAUGCGGGAAGCAGGGUGAUCCUAUGCUGCCAAGAAAAUCUUCUAGCGAGGUUCUAGCCGCCCGUACCCCAAACCGACUCAGGUGGUUAGGUAGAGAAUACCAAGGCGAUCGAGUGAAUCGUAGUUAAGGAAUUCGGCAAAAUGCCCCCGUAACUUCGGGAGAAGGGGGGCCCGGAUUCUGAAGUCCUUUACGGACUAGGAUGAUGGGCCGCAGAGACCAGGGAGAAGCGACUGUUUACUAAAAACACAGGUCCGUGCGAAGUUGCAAAACGAUGUAUACGGACUGACGCCUGCCCGGUGCUGGAAGGUUAAGAGGACGGGUUAGACGCAAGUCGAAGCUCAGAAUUUAAGCCCCAGUAAACGGCGGUGGUAACUAUAACCAUCCUAAGGUAGCGAAAUUCCUUGUCGGGUGAGUUCCGACCUGCACGAAUGGCGUAACGACUUCUCCACUGUCUCAACUGCGAACUCGGCGAAAUUGCAUUACGAGUAAAGAUGCUCGUUACGCGCAGCAGGACGGAAAGACCCCGGGACCUUUACUAUAGCUUGGUAUUGGUGUUUGGGACGGCUUGUGUAGGAUAGGUGGGAGACUGUGAAGCUGACACGCCAGUGUUAGUGGAGUCAUCGUUGAAAUACCACUCUGGUCGUUCUGAAUAUCUAACCUCGGUCCGUGAUCCGGAUCAGGGACAUUGCCUGGUGGGUAGUUUAACUGGGGCGGUUGCCUCCUAAAAUGUAACGGAGGCGCUCAAAGGUUCCCUCAGUCUGGUUGGUAAUCAGAUUUCGAGUGUAAGUGCACAAGGGAGCUUGACUGUGAGACUGACAAGUCGAGCAGGGACGAAAGUCGGAACUAGUGACCCGACGGUGGCUCGUGGAAGCGCCGUCGCUCAACGGAUAAAAGGUACCCCGGGGAUAACAGGCUGAUCUUGCCCAAGAGUCCAUAUCGACGGCAUGGUUUGGCACCUCGAUGUCGGCUCGUCGCAUCCUGGGGGUGUAGUCGCUCCCAAGGGUUGGGCUGUUCGCCCAUUAAAGCGGUACGCGAGCUGGGUUUAGAACGUCGUGAGACAGUUCGGUCCCUAUCCGCUGUGCGCGUAGGAAACUUGAGAAGACCUGUCCCUAGUACGAGAGGACCGGGAUGGACGAACCUCUGGUGUGUCAGUUGUCUUGCCAAAGGCACGGCUGAUUGGCUACGUUCGGAAGUGAUAACCGCUGAAAGCAUCUAAGCGGGAAGCACGCUUCAAGAUGAGGUUUCCAAGGGCUUUGCCCGAGAGGCUCCCAGUAGACGACUGGGUUGAUAGGCCAGAUGUGGAAGUGCAGCAAUGCAUGUAGCUGACUGGUACUAAUAAGCCGAUAACUUGACC
rnacentral:rRNA from 1 species